UGCCAACAAUUCAUUUGCCCAUGUUCGAGACUAGAGUCACUCCGCAUUCUCUGAUGAAUGUGGAGUGCUAAAAUGUUCUCGAAUAUCAAAUAGGCAUAUUAUGCGAGUAGGCCUCGCUC
rnacentral:pre_miRNA from 1 species